rnacentral:rRNA from 1 species
GAUGAACGCUAGCUACAGGCUUAACACAUGCAAGUCGAGGGGAAACGAUGAGAGAGCUUGCUCUCUUAGGCGUCGACCGGCGCACGGGUGAGUAACGCUUAUCCAACCUACCCAUUACAGGGGGAUAACCUUGCGAAAGUAAGACUAAUACCCCAUGGCAUUUUAUGGUGGCAUCAUUAUAGGAUUAAAGAUUUAUUGGUAAUGGAUGGGGAUGCGUCUGAUUGGCUUGUUGGCGGGGUAACGGCCCACCAAGGCAACGAUCAGUAGGGGUUCUGAGAGGAAGGUCCCCCACAUUAGAAGUGGGACACGGUCCAAACUCCUACGGGAGGCAGCAGUGAGGAAUAUUAGGCAAUGGGCGAGAGCUUGAACCAGCCAAGUAGCGUGCAAGAUGACGGCCCUAUGGGUUGUAAACUGCUUUUAUAGGGGAAUAAAGUGAGCUACGUGUAGGUUAUUGCAUGUACCCUAUGAAUAAGGACCGGCUAAUUCCGUG